rnacentral:sRNA from 1 species
GGUUGCAACAUCCCCGUGGAUUGGGUGACGGUUUGUAACGGGCCGUCAUAGCGAAUUCACUGCAACU